rnacentral:rRNA from 1 species
CUCGAUUGAAACCUCUUCAUAGGAAAACAAGUGACGGUACCUAAAGAAAACACGGCUAACUAUGUGCCACAGCCGCGGUAAUACAUAGGUGCAAGCGUGUCCGGAAUUAUUGGGCGUAAAGAGCUCGUAGUCGUUAAUCACGUCGGAUGUGAAAAUCUGAGGCUCAACCUCAACUGCAUUCGAUACGGGUUAACUAGAGUGUGGUAGGGGAGACUGGAAUUCCUGGUGUAGCGGUGGAAUGCGCAGAUAUCAGGAGGAACACCAAUGGCGAAGGCAGGUCUCUGGGCCAUUACUGACACUGAGGAGCGAAAGUUCGGGGAGCGAACAGGAUUAGAUACCCUGGUAGUCCACGCGGUAAACGAUGAGAACUAGCCGUUGGGUGCGUUUCAGCACUGAGUGGCGAAGCUAACGCGAUAAGUUCUCCGCCUGGGGAGUACGGCCGCAAGGUUAAAACUCAAAUGAAUUGACGGGGGCCCGCACAAGCGGUGGAGCAUGUGGUUUAAUUCGAUGCAACGCGAAGAACCUUACCUGUGCUUGACAUGUCGCGAAUCCCGAGAGAUUG